UACGUAGGGUGCAAGCGUUGUCCGGAAUUAUUGGGCGUAAAGAGCUCGUAGGCGGUCUGUCGCGUCUGCUGUGAAAACUCGGGGCUUAACCCCGGGCCUGCAGUGGGUACGGGCAGACUAGAGUGCGGUAGGGGAGACUGGAAUUCCUGGUGUAGCGGUGAAAUGCGCAGAUAUCAGGAGGAACACCGGUGGCGAAGGCGGCGAUCUGGGCAGAUAUUGACGCUGAUGUGCGAAAGCGUGGGGAGCAAACAGG
rnacentral:rRNA from 1 species